rnacentral:rRNA from 1 species
AUUGAACGCUGGCGGCAGGCUUAACCCAUGCAAGUCGAGCGAGCGGCGGACGGGUGAGUAAUUUCUGGGAAACUGCCUGAUGGAGGGGGAUAACUACUGGAAACGGUAGCUAAUACCGCAUACACUCCGAUGUGCCACGAUGGGAUGAGCGAGUAGGUGGGGUAAUGGCUCACCUAGGCGACGAUCCCUAGCUGGUCAGUGAGGAUGACCAGCCACCCUGGAACUGAGACACGGUCCAGAAGCCUACGUGAGGCAGCAGUGGGGAAGAUUGCACCAUGGGCGCAAGCCUGAUGCAGCCAUGCCGCGUGUGUGAAGAAGGCCUUCGGGUUGUAAAGGACUUUCAGCGAGGAGGCGUUACUCGCAGAAGAAGCACCGGCUAACUCCGUGCCAGCAGCCGCGGUAAUAC